CAGCAGCCACGGUAAAACAGAGGGUGCGAGCGUUAAUCGGAUUUACUGGGCGUAAAGCGUGCGUAGGCGGCUUCUUAAGUCGGAUGUGAAAUCCCUGAGCUUAACUUAGGAAUUGCAUUCGAUACUGGGAAGCUAGAGUAUGGGAGAGGAUGGUAGAAUUCCAGGUGUAGCGGUGAAAUGCGUAGAGAUCUGGAGGAAUACCGAUGGCGAAGGCAGCCAUCUGGCCUAAUACUGACGCUGAGGUACGAAAGCAUGGGGAGCAAACAGGAUUAGAGACCCCCGUAGUCCCUGUCUCUUAUAA
rnacentral:rRNA from 1 species